GACGAACGCUGGCGGCGUGCCUAAUACAUGCAAGUCGAACGCAGUGGGGACGGGUGAGUAACACGUGGGUAACCUCCCAUCAGAGGGGAUAACACUUGGAAACAGGUGCUAAACCGAUACUGAUGGAUGGACCCGCGGUGCAUUAGCUAGUUGGUGAGGUAACGGCUCACCAAGGCUACGAUGCCUAGCCGGCCUGAGAGGAUGAUCAGCCACACUGGGACUGAGACACGGCCCAGACUCCUACGGGAGGCAGCAGUGGGGAAUCUUCGGCAAUGGGCGAAAGUCUGACCGAGCAACGCCGCGUGAGUGAAGAAGGUUUUCGGGUCGUAAAGCUCUGUUGUUAGAGAGGCGGUAUCUAACGAGGAAGCCACGGCUAACUACGUGCCAGCAGCCGCGGUAAUUC
rnacentral:rRNA from 1 species